rnacentral:tRNA from 7 species
ACUCAUCUAGCUCAGUCGGUAAGGCUUUUAACCUUGAGGUUGUGGGUUCGAGCCUCAUGGUGAGCG